ACGCUCGACACCUACGGGAGACAGCAGUGGGGAAUAUUGCACAAUGGGGGAAACCCUGAUGCAGCGACGCCGCGUGAGCGAAGAAGUAUUUCGGUAUGUAAAGCUCUAUCAGCAGGGAAGAAACUGACGGUACCUGACUAAGAAGCACCGGCUAAAUACGUGCCAGCACGCCGCGGUAAUCUGAGCGGGCUGGCAAGGC
rnacentral:rRNA from 1 species